GGAACCGGGAGAGGUAAGAGGUACUACAGGGGUAGGAGUGAAAAUCUUGUAAUCCCGUGUGGGACCACCUGUGGCGAAAGGCGUCUUACCAGAACGGGUUCGACGGUGAGGGACGAAAGCUGGGGGCACGAACCGGAUUAGAUACCCGGGUAAGUCCCAGCCGUAAACGAUGCUCGCUAGGUGUCAGGCAUGGCGCGACCGUGUCUGGUGCCGCAGGGAAGCCGUGAAGCGAGCCACCUGGGAAGUACGGCCGCAAGGCUGAAACGUUAAAGGAAUUGGCGGGGGAGCACAACAACGGGGUGGAGCCUGCGGUUUAAUUGGACUCAACGCCGGACAACUCACCGGGGCGACAGCAAUAUGUAGGCCAAGCUGAAGACUUUGCCUGAAUCGCUGAGAAGAGGUGCAUGG
rnacentral:rRNA from 1 species